CUUCCCCACAUGAAGAAGCACUGUUCCCGGAGUGAGUGACUGUAACUGCUGGUAAGCCGGAGCUACUUGUAGUCAAGCAGCCAUCUAUAGAAGAAGCAAAUGAAGUCAAGGAGAGGAAGGCAGAAAAGAGAAGUGAGUUUUAGAGGAACAGCGCCUUCCAUCUGCCUUGCUCUCAGUAGAUUCCCCCAGGAGUCCAAAGAGAAGACCGAGCUGGGUGAGCCCCACAUCUCCGAAGAGGCCCUGCUCUCUCGGGUCUUCUGAUGUCUCACUGAGAGGAAUGGAUGGAUGAAAGACACCUGCUGAACUUUCCCUGCACCCACGCUAAGGAUUCCCGUCUACAAGAUGCACCUCCUCCUCCUCUGAACAGACCUUGGAGCAACCUUGGCUUAUUGGGAGCCCCUCCUAGGCACUCCACCGACUCCUCAAGACCCUGAGUGUUCAUGUCGUUUCCCAGACACUCACAGGACAGUGGCAUUGGCUAGAGCACAGGUCUAAUUGCACUUUGCUCCCAAAGAAGUCUUCCUGUUGCCUUGGCCACACCUGGCAGGCUUUGAACAAGGCUCAAGAGCAUAAGUCCACUUCAUUCCUCAGCUCUGGGUCUUUGCCAGGUGACUGCACCGUCUCCUGGGACCCUGACCUUCACCCGUAUUCCCAAU
rnacentral:lncRNA from 13 species